rnacentral:rRNA from 1 species
UACGUAGGGUGCAAGCGUUACUCGGAAUUACUGGGCGUAAAGCGUGCGCAGGCGGUUGUGCAAGUCAGAUGUGAAAUCCCCGGGCUUAACCUGGGAAUUGCAUUUGUGACUGUACGGCUAGAGUGUGUCAGAGGGGGGUAGAAUUCCACGUGUAGCAGUGAAAUGCGUAGAGAUGUGGAGGAAUACCGAUGGCGAAGGCAGCCCCCUGGGAUAACACUGACGCUCAUGCACGAAAGCGUGGGGAGCAAACAGG